rnacentral:lncRNA from 1 species
GGUGGGUGCGCUUGCAACUUGCAUCGUUCACGGUUUUAUUAAAAGCAAGUAUAAUAAGAUAUAGUCAAUAGGCUUUAAAAAUUAAAAUAUUAUAUUUUUACUAAGUUGGAUGAGAGAGAAGAUAAAAGAGAAGAAAACGAGUUUUUGUGAAGAGCUAGCUCUAGCACGUGUUCCUUGUGCUUUGUGAGAAAUGAAAGAUGAAACAUAUAUAAUAAAGGUAAUACUCUUUUAC